AAAGUUUCCUUCGGGAAGCAAGUAGAGUGGCGCACGGGUGAGUAACGCGUAGGUAAUCUACCCUUGUACCUGGGAUAACAUCGGGAAACUGGUGCUAAUACCGGAUACACUUCUUAGCUGCGGGGUUAAGGAGGAAAGGUGGCCUCUUCAUGAAAGCUACCGUACGGGGAUGAGCCUGCGUACCAUUAGCUAGUAGGCGGGGUAACGGCCCACCUAGGCGACGAUGGUUAGCGGGUCUGAGAGGAUGAUCCGCCACACUGGAACUGGAACACGGACCAGACUCCUACGGGAGGCAGCAGUGAGGAAUAUUGCGCAAUGGGGGAAACCCUGACGCAGCGACGCCGCGUGAGUGAGGAAGGUCUUCGGAUCGUAAAGCUCUGUCAGAAGGGAAGAAAUGCCAUGCAGUUAACACCUGGGUGGUUUGACGGUACCUUCAGAGGAAGCACCGGCUAACUCCGUGCCAGCAGCCGCGGUAAUACGGAGGGUGCGAGCGUUGUUCGGAAUUACUGGGCGUAAAGGGCGCG
rnacentral:rRNA from 1 species